AUGAGAAAUUGCCCACCAAAACACUUGUCCAGAGGCAGCGUCAGACGAGAAGGGACACUCCUUGUGCCGCGGGGCAGGGAUGCCACCUGGUCCUCAGCGCACCAGGAAAGCACUCGGUGCUGUGGGAGCGCAGGCUUCCGCUGGUGGCUGCGAUGGAGACACCUGGGGGGCGUCGCCAGGAUUUUAUUUAAUACUCAGUCGGCUGCUGGGAAACAGGUGGCUGCAUCUCCGCUGGGGCCUGAGCCUCUCUUGGCAGCUGGGUGCUGCUGCAGGGGCUUGGAGUUUGCUUCGUCCUCCUGCUGUGGCGCUCUGCCUGCCCCUGGGUGCCGGCCUCAGCAGCUGAGCCUGAGCCUCCAGGAGAGAGUACUGCGAUUGGAUUCAGAAGCACAACAGCAAAUUGCUGACAACCUUUACAUACGCGUGUGUGUGUGCUUUGGACACGAGGGAGAUCUCCUGGAAGCUGUGCUGCCGGUUCCCCUGCUGGUGCCGCUUCCUGCCUGCAGCAUCCCUUCCCCGCUGCCUGCUGGCGCCUGCAGCAGCCUCCCCGCGGCGAGGGAGCCGGAGCCGUCCUCUGCUGCCUGCGUCCGCCUCUGUGCCAGAGAAGGUCCGAAACAGGGUGCUGGGCUGCGGGGCUCUGCACAAGGAGUGCAAACGUAG
rnacentral:lncRNA from 1 species